rnacentral:tRNA from 1 species
GGUGAUGUAGCUCAGUUGGUUAGAGCGCAGCAUUCAUAAUGCUGAGGUCGAGAGUUCAAAUCUCUCCAUCACCACCA